UAUCUACGUCAUAAAAGCUGACCUCGACAAUCUUGUUCGGUGUACGCAAGAGGAGUAUGGUUUUCAAGAGCGAUGUGCAUCGGAAAGUGAGACUAUCCCAUCAAGUGUAGCCAGGUAUUCUAGAGCUAUCCACGGGGCUGCCACAAAAGCACAGGGGCCUCCACACGACGGCCAUUCACUGUGUGGACACUGUACUGCACACGUACACACCCGACACCAUGUAUUACGAGGCACGACUCACACUAUCAAGAGGAAAUCGGCGAUUUCAGAUUUUCUGGAGAGAAAAACACUGCCACUUGCCGGACACCCGCGUCACCAUUCGUCGGAAGAUCCUAUGUCAUCUUUCUUCGCGGCGGACGCGUGCACAUCGCGGCAAGUCAGAGCCUCUACUCGCGCGAGUGGUAUCGGGAAAAGCUCGAGUCCAGAAAAUUCUCGAUUCGGUUGCGAAGCUCGCCGUCUCACGGUCACCGGCUUUUCUGAAAUGAUUUUCGGGGAAAUCAAAUGAUCUGGUAACGAAAAUCUCUUUUGGAAAUUGACAAGAGCGAAGGUUGGUACCCCAUGAUCGAGCUGGAGGUGGUUAGGGGAUGUCUGGUGCUCUCGAGAGGGCAAGGAACUCUACUGCUUCGACAAAUAAACGGUUCGAUAAACAAAAUGAUUUUUACAAUUAAAAAACGUCGGAACGUAAUCGGGAAGGACGAUGAUGAAAGGAUAUUAACGAAGAAUAUACACUUAUCCGUUUUUGAAGAAUUACCUGAAUGGGUAUUCGAUGUUAGCGAACAACUUUGAAACACUACAAACUAAAAAAUGAGAGAUGCAAUAAAAAUAACGUAACUGAUAAAAACUUGACUCGUUUUUCGAACAUACGGCUGCGCGACAAGCGAGCUUCGUCGGUGACAGCGACAGACUGCGUGCCGUGAGACGCCGGUUGAACGAGCGAACGAACCGAUGGACGACGGAACGUGGACAGAAGGAACGGAGGAACGAGCGGAACGACGGAACGAAGCUUGCACCUUCGGUCUCGAAAACGAUCAACCGCGAGCUGCAUUCGAGUUCCAGACGCGACAGGGUUCGCAUCAUCUACCUCCCUAUGUUUUCAGGAAACUCGAACAAUGUAGAAGAAGAAUUUUCUAGCUCUUAGACCAAUGUUUUCUAAAGAAAAAUCCUAGAAUGUAGACUAUACCUCUCAAAUACGAGCGCUCGCAGGCUAGCUAUCCACCGGAGAGAUGCCGUCAGACCCUGAUGGGGAUACAGACGGAACCAGAUGCAUUCAACCGGUAUUGCUGCACAACUCGUGUGCACGUAUUUGGCCGUACACGAUGUCGGUACGCCCUGCAACACGAAUUUUCUAACAAGUCGACCGUACCACUUACAACGGAGCAGGCCAAUAUGUUGCACAUCAAAGAAGCUGAACAACGACGCUUAAUUCGUAAGCAGGAGAAUGAACAACGUGUUGGAAGAGCAACGUGUAGCAACUGAAAAUGGUCAAGAGGAAUGUUUAUAGCUGUGGGCCGACACGCGAUGAAUUCAGCAUGAGGGGCACAUAAAAACGCGGGGGCGUUCACGCAUCAACGGUAACGACGUGUGACGAGAGCGUUUCACUCUUUCCCUGCGAUUUGCAGUUCUAAAAAUUUCUCAUACUACUUUCUAAAUUAGAGAUUCCUACAUUAGGUAAACUCUGCAAAUAGCGAAACCUUGUACAUAACCGUUUCCCUGAGUAUAGUGGUACAGCAACGUCCGUCAGCACAGGGGUCUCGAGCAUGCACCUUGGCGCGACUAGACGAGCCAGAGACAACGAGAAGCGGCCUUCGACAACCUCAACCUAGCUACAGACGUGUGGCUGUUCGUGUGUGCACGUGCUCUCCACGUACGCGUUUCAGCGCGGAAAAAAGCGAUGCAGAACACCGUCUCGAGGCACCAGUCGAGUCAUAAAUUGUAAAUCGUGCUUCCUAUUUUAAAACGGAGAUCACGUAAAAUCCUCGGCAACUUCAUAGUCACGAUCAUGAAUCGAAUUUCCAUCUCAUUUUCUAUGCGGCGUCUCGGUUGCUUCGGAUAUGGAUUUUAAUUGUUGACUUCUGUGAUGUUGGUUCAUGAAUGAUACGAUUAUGAGUAUUCAUUGACUGGGAAAAGUGGUAAACAAUGACGAAGAACGGAAACGUGGUAUGCACCUGUCCAGCACACAGGAAGCAGGGUUGAAAAAUGCGAUUCUUUUGCAAAGUUGAACGAUUCGCGAGAGAAAAGGACACGCACACCUGCGUAAACUACGAUGCAGGUGUACUCGUGUGCACUUCACACGCACACCGUUGUACUCCUUUGUGAGCCUCCACUGAGGUAGAAUAAUUCACUUUUUCUCGGCUAGACAGAGCAGAGACGGUAGAUGUCUAUACUGGAAUCAAGCUCGAUAGAACUCAUUCCAGGAAUAACUAAGAGCGAUGUUUAACCGUAACGACGAAAUUAAAAGCUUCGGAUUGUUGAAUAGGGAAAAGGAUCCUCUGCCAGUGAAGUGUUACUUUGAGAACGUAUGAGCUUUGGAAUAACAAUGCAAACGGGUUUCGCCCGAUAAUGCAAUGCCGAAAAGAAGGUCAAUGGAAAAGUUGCAACGACAAAAGCAGUGGUGCAACGUACCGGCGUCGACCAUCGAGAGGGGAAAUGUAUAAAGAGUGGGUCGGACUAAAAGGCCAUAUCGGAAAAAUUCUCAUUUAGCCCCUGGCCAAUGAAAGACCAGGUGGAUCCUCGUGAAAAACAGGGCCACGCCUGUCAACUUCGGGAGACCUUAGAAAACAGGCCAAUGGAGAAGGGCUCGAAUACAUCUGCAUCCGGGAAUUAAGACGUAUCGAGCCACUGCACAAAACUGAAAGUACAGUACAUUAGCUUAUAAAAUAUUUCGAACGCUUAUAAUAUUUAAAACAGAUGCUUCUCGAAAUUAAAUUUCAAACUUCAAGCACUGUAGGCUGUGAAAUUUUUGAAGCUAAUGUUUCAAGCUCGAAAUGUCUCAAACUUGAUACGAUCCAAGUUUGGAACAUUUCAAAAACUUCCACGCAGCUUUGAGAAGCUGGCGACCAUGGAAGACAGAAAAAAGAAUAAUACCUUGACGUACAACUAUCGGUAGAAAUCUUCAAAGGCCUCCGCCCAAAGGAAAAUCCAGAGAACAAGGAUUGGCGAUGACAGGAAGGUAGCAAAAUGUUCGAGACAAACGGGUAAUCGGAAAGAAGCAGCCAGUUAAAGGAGAAGAAAUGUGCCGUCUAUAAAAAUGGUCGAGAUAAAGAGAACGGUGAAGACAAAGAGAAACUGAAAAGGAACAGACGGGAGGGAGAGGAAGAAAAGGGAGAGAGAAAACCUUGGCCCACAGGCCUACUGCAGCGCUGCAGCUUGCUUGCACUCUGGCUCUGCCACUCUACCAUUCAUGUGGGAAACACCCUAGUAUCCACCGUGGGGUUGGGCCAACAACCGCUGGAAAAAUUUCUCUUUCGAUGCACUGCAACGGCCCCGCCCCGAACAUCGCCAAAGGGGAAGAAAAGUUUCAGUGGAACGAUGCUGGAUGGCCAGACAUAGACAACUGCAAUGUCUACCGAAACCUGCCUCUUGAAGAUGGUUCCGUGGAAAACGCCCGAAAAUUCCCAUUCCGGAAUAUUCGAAACCUAAUGAAAACGUAGCAACAAUGGAAUAGGGGGUGUUCAUAUACUUUCGUGUGUCAAGUAUUUAAAUACUUACAAUAAAUCAAUGUUAACAUCGAAUAAUUCUAAGCAAUCGAUAAGUCCUCUUUGAUUGAUCCUCGAUUGAAAAAAUGUAAUGGCGUAUAACGAACAUUUUGGCGGGCUGUAAAAAAUUGCCGCCAGAGGGCCAGCGCGGGUGUAAGAUAAAUACUUGUGAAUCACGUUUACUAAAUUAUUUUGAGAAUAUAUACUGCUUUCUUUAUUUUAUUUUUAUACUGCUUUUUAUUAUUUUAUUUCGUUAGAAGAAAAUGGUAUUACCUUCUCGAGAUAGGUACAACAGAUAAUACCCAUGAUGCAUGCAGUGCGAAUGGUUACGUACGCAUUUAUUGACACUGAGAUUCGCCACAUGACUUUGAUCUGCGAUUCGUGAUCUUGCACGCCUAACCUAGGCCACUCGAUCUUCUCUUUUUUCUGUAACCUCGCAUGACCGAAUAGGCUGAUAAUAUUCUGCACAUUUAAAUUUCUUCGACGCUAUUCCUUGCACGCGAAUAAAUACGAGAAACGGAGAUGACGGGAAGAAGAUCGAUAAAUGUAUCGAUUUUUAGUAACACCAGCGACAUCUCGAUUAUUUUGGAGGGAAUGAUACAUUUGAUUUUCGAUAAAAUUGUAAGGGAGGAAAAGUACUCGAAUGGUUAGAAUAUGUAUGAUCAAAACCGGAUAUGAAGAUAAAUAUUCAAGUAUCUGAAUUCAAGUUUUCUUUUGUGAUUACUCAGAUACGAAACUUUUCUUGUAGUAUUUUUUUUUAAUUCCACUCGAGCUUACUCUUAUCUACUAGUGAUAAAAAUUUGCUGUAGAACAGUAAAAUGGCAACAACGAUUGUAAUUCUGACCUAUAGUCAAGCAGUUAGCAAACAGCUGGUAUUUUUUAGCACUAUUACUGAAUAUACGUUCGAGUCUUCAAUCGCAAAAAGUCACGAUUAUCGAUAUUUUGCAAAAGUCAAAAUCGAUCGUAUCUUCUAAUCGACGUACGGUUAGUUUCGGUUACUGAAUCGAGAUAAAGUUCUAGAAGUUCGAACUGUCAAAAUCGCUGGCUAUCGAUACUCGAAUUACUUUACUUCCAUAUCUCGAAAUACGUUACUAACUACGUUCUAACUGAUAAAGAUAUUAAUAUAAAUAAAUUCAUAUUGUUAAUACAGUUUAAAUAUUAUUUAACGUCACAUGGUGUUAAUUUUUCAUCAGUCACUUUCAGAAUUAAUUCACGAGUUAUAUACUGAACUUGAUCUUGUUCUUGGUCGUCAUUCAUCAAGAACAUGUGCCAGAGAAUUGUGUAGCGCAAGAAACAGCGAAAGUGUGAAUUCUAAUAUUUACCUCCUAAUGAAUCCGUUCGAAACAGGAACAUCGCCGCAUCCUAGGGAUUUCUGCUGAACGUAGAAAUUCAUGAAGAAGAAAAACAGCGGGAGUAAAGAACGUGGUAAUGUAUGUAAGUAUAUAUCCUAUAUUUAUCGGACACCGUUCGUUUGUACGUCAGGUCGCCGCUCCCUGAGAGAUCACUGCCCUCACGCACACCCGGUGUCUUUUCUCGUUCCUUUGGCCGAUCGACGUCGGGUGUCCCUCUGCUCCGACGACGGGGGCCAGGGAUGUAUCGCGAAAUUGACGGACCCGUCGCGAAUAACCCGCCGCGCGAAACAUCUCAAUUCCAAAUCGUUUAAUGAAUACACUUCGUAGCAAUUGCACAAUUUCCGUUUUAUCGCAAACAUCUCUCUAAAAACGAGAGAAGGUACACACGAAAUCGGAACGAGAAAAAAUUUAUCGAGGUAGUGAUGGGAUUGAUUAAAAAAUAUCUUAAUCAAUGAAGAUAGACUGGAUUAAUUUUUUACGAAUUACUUAACUGGAAUAUAGAAUAAAUGGAAAAAUACUGCCACUAUUGUAAUUAUCUUUGAACCAUGGAACUGGAAUAUAUUUUUCGAAAUGUGAUUACGAAGAGAACAGUCGAUAAGAACAUGUCUAAUUGUAGUUGACAAGGAAAUAUAUUUUUUUUAAAUGUUAAGUAUCGUUCGUCGAGAUAUCGUUCCCAUCACUACUCUAUUAACUUCCCUUCCUCGAAUCUGAAUUUCGAGACUAUCGAGCUGUCUCGAUGAUCCGGCGACGAAUAACCACCAAAUGUAACGAUCACUCGCGAACUUCCUUCGUGAACGGUUGAAAAUAAUUUCGAAAAAUCAACCACGAUCUCGAACGAUACACGAGGAACUUUUUAUCGUAAACGGUUGGAUUUAUGUUUUGACGUAGUGCACUAAUCCGUUCGCGAGUUAAAUUUGCCCGGUAAUUGUAUUUGUUGCACGCGCACUGUGUCUCACAUGGGUGCUUGUUCUGCGUGUCCUCGCGAAUUCGCGGCACACGGACUGCUACUUCCCGAUUGCAAAAACCCCUUCUUUCCGCGCACAGAAAGACUGAGGGAUCUAGAAACCCUACCCCCCAGGGCACGCGUACGUGUAUGCGAGUUUGCACGUCUAGCGCACACCACGAUAAACGCGACACGUAUGUACAAAGGGGAAACGACGUGCAGGAGCCGGCAACCAGACAACCAUUCCCAUUCUCUUGAUAGAACGCGUGGCAACUAGUCGAAUGAGCGCAAAGUCGCCAUCUGUAUCGCGAUUCUGGCAUUAUGAUUUUCGCAAAUUGACCGGCAAAUGCAAUCACGUCCCUGAUCAAACGAAAUGCGCAUGCGCACGCGUGCGUUGGAAAUUCAAACAUUCUUGAUCUGCCGCGAAUUUUAAACAGGUACGUGGUUUAUUAAUACACACUAUCUUCUGCCAUUCAUCCUAAUAGUGUAAAUGUUGGAACCUUGAUAUAAUUUCUAAUUAAAUCUGAAAUGUUCUAAAAUGGAUAGUAUCUUUGGUCUUAAUAGGUAUGUAUGAUUGUCUUACUAACCUAAAGGUUAUUUUCACUAUACAUUGAAAUAAGAGUGGUAUACCAGAAUAAUAUUAUUUUACCUAUAUUAUGUUAAUUUAGAUUAGAUCUACUUAUAUUCGAUAAAGGUUAGAUCAUUAACCAUCGGAGAAGACAGGCUUAACUAUUAAUACUUUUAUACAACAGAAACGCGUAUUGAACAUGACACGUAGUAAUAUAACAUAAAGUAUUAAGAUAGGUCAAUCAGGCUCAGUGCAAAUAAACAUCAUUCACCGGAAUGGAGUAAGUUGCAUAUUAUAAGUAAUGAAAUUAUUUAUGCAAUGUAUCUACUGUUUCAAAAUACCGGAACUAACCCGCGCUUUUUUCAGGACUGACAAAUCACAUGUGUCAAAUAUUCUGAUUGGUUAACGUUACAUCACAAUAUGGCUUCCUGUAACGUUCUUUUACGAUUGAACGAUCAUCGGCUUAGUUGAAAUCAGUAAGAAACUUUGCAUCGACACAUAAUCUAUUGAUACGAAUAAGCUUUGUUGUUUUUGAAGAAUUUAUUUAAUCAAGCAUGUUAUUUAAGACCGAUUCGUAUUUCCAUAAAAGACAACGCUGCAAAUCCAUAAUUCCCACCGAUAUUAUGUCCCAUUUUAGUUGGACAGUACAUAUUUUAUUCGAUGAUAAAAACCUAGGAUCAUUGGUUGAUGGUCUUCCAGGUAACUGUCUGAUACAAUCGAUUUAUUAACAUUGAUAUCUUUGUUUUUCAGCAGAGGAAAACGGAGAUCGUACGACGCUUGAUAUAAGAAAGAAAAAUAUUUCAGCUGUUCGGAUUUUUCCCUUAAUCUUUGUUAUUUUUAUUGGUAUUUCGCUUUUGAAAAGGAUACGGAUAACGAGAAUCUUCGGAAACUUUUGUAUACUGAAGCUUUUGGUACACUU
rnacentral:lncRNA from 1 species